AGUUUUCUACCGUGAAAGAGCAGCCGGAAUGUACUCAGAACUGCCUUAUGCAUUUGCUCAGGUUGCUAUAGAGUCAAUAUAUGUUGCAUCCCAGACAUUAAUCUACAGUUUAUUGCUUUACUCAAUGAUUGGGUUCCCUUGGAAAGCUGAAAACUUCUUGUGGUUCUACUUCUUCAUAUUCAUGUGCUUUAUGUACUUCACAUUGUAUGGAAUGAUGCUUGUGGCUCUCACUCCAGGUCAUCAAAUUGCUGCCAUUGUUAUGUCUUUCUUCCUCAGCUUCUGGAACCUGUUCUCUGGCUUCCUCAUCCCGAGGACGCAAAUACCAAUAUGGUGGAGAUGG
rnacentral:misc_RNA from 1 species